rnacentral:rRNA from 1 species
AUUGAACGCUGGCGGCAGGCUUAACACAUGCAAGUCGAGCGGUAGAAAGUAGCUUGCUACUUUUGAGAGCGGCGGACGGGUGAGUAAUGCGUGGGAAUCUACCUGGUAGUGGGGGACAACAGUUGGAAACGACUGCUAAUACCGCAUACGCCUACGGGGAAAGCGGGGAGUCUUCGGACCUCGUGCUAUCAGAUGAGCCCGCGUGAGAUUAGCUAGUUGGUGGGGUAAAGGCCUACCAAGGCGACGAUCUCUAGCUGGUCUGAGAGGAUGAUCAGCCACACUGGGACUGAGACACGGCCCAGACUCCUACGGGAGGCAGCAGUGGGGAAUAUUGGACAAUGGGCGCAAGCCUGAUCCAGCCAUGCCGCGUGUGUGAAGAAGGCC